rnacentral:tRNA from 1 species
GCGGGGUAGUUUAAUGGUAGAACAUGAGCUUCCCAAGCUCAGAGCGCGGGUUCGAUUCCCGUCACCCGCUCCA